AACAACCUAUUUGGCCAAUGUAGAAGUGUUUCCUCGUUUGCUGCCUGCUUAUACUCUGUGAUCACUGUCUUGCGAAGGUGGUUUUAUCCUAUAUAAUGGUAUUUAUUGCUGAUGCUUCUACUUGCUAUUGCGUAGAGUACCAAUCAUAAUGCAUGCUGUACCUAUCCCUUUGCUUCGGAAUUGCGUAAGUAGAGGUUAUCCGUUGAUUGAGAUUUUAGCGAAGACUACAUAUCAAGAAGGUUGGUCGAGAAACAUUGCGCUCAUCACUGAUGCAAUGCUGUUGAAAGUCAUGACUUUACCUUGACUGACUUUUGAAUAUCACUCAGCUCCCAGCGUGAAAUGUCAUCUGCAUACAUCUGUUUCGGUGACUAUUUUAGAUGGUAGCAAGCCAUUUGAUGUCUUUACGCCUAGUUAUCUAAUGCCAAAUAUUCCGCUCCAGAUAUUUUUACAGGUAUUACUAAAAUUGAUUGAACCCAGCCUUGUGAAAUGAUAAAAUUAAACAUAAACAUUUUUCGGUUCCUGUCGGUGAAGCUGUAUACCUACCAAACUCAGUAGGUAAAUUAAAAAAUGUCAUCAAAUAGAAGACAUACCACGCUUGUGACAAUGAUUUCAAUUCAAACAGUACAAUCUAGUGAAAAUCAUAACAUGAUUUACCAUUACUGAAUAAGCACAUCAUUCGGGGAAGCCGUUCAUUCGAAGGAACGACGUUUUAUAAAACGGAGCUCUACAAAGACAGCAUUUGUGGCAU